rnacentral:rRNA from 1 species
GGGGAAUAUUGGACAAUGGGCGCAAGCCUGAUCCAGCAAUGCCGCGUGUGUGAAGAAGGCCUGCGGGUUGUAAAGCACUUUUGUUCGGGAAGAAAACGGAUCGGUUAAUACCCGGUUCGGAUGACGGUACCGAAAGAAUAAGCACCGGCUAACUUCGUGCCAGCAGCCGCGGUAAUACGAAGGGUGCAAGCGUUAAUCGGAAUUACUGAGCGUAAAGCGUGCGUAGGCGGCUUUUUAAGUCGGAUGUGAAAUCCCCGGGCUCAACCUGGGAAUGGCAUCCGAUACUGGGGAGCUAGAGUUUGGGAGAGGGUGGUGGAAUUCCCGGUGUAGCGGUGAAAUGCGUAGAGAUCGGGAGGAACAUCAGUGGCGAAGGCGGCCACCUGGCCUAAAACUGACGCUGAGGCACGAAAGCGUGGGGAGCAAAC